GUACACUCCUACGGGAGGCAGCAGUGGGGAAUAUUGCACAAUGGGCGCAAGCCUGAUGCAGCCAUGCCGCGUGUAUGAAGAAGGCCUUCGGGUUGUAAAGUACUUUCAGCGGGGAGGAAGGCGAUAAGGUUAAUAACCUUGUUGAUUGACGUUACCCGCAGAAGAAGCACCGGCUAACUCCGUGCCAGCAGCCGCGGUAAUACGGAGGGUGCAAGCGUUAAUCGGAAUUACUGGGCGUAAAGCGCACGCAGGCGGUCUGUCAAGUCGGAUGUGAAAUCCCCGGGCGCAACCUGGGAACUGCAUUCGAAACUGGCAGGCUAGAGUCUUGUAGAGGGGGGUAGAAUUCCAGGUGUAGCGGUGAAAUGCGUAGAGAUCUGGAGGAAUACCGGUGGCGAAGGCGGCCCCCUGGACAAAGACUGACGCUCAGGUGCGAAAGCGUGGGGAGCAAACAGGAUUAGAAACCCGAGUAGUCCCAUGAU
rnacentral:rRNA from 1 species